UACAGAGGGGGCAAGCGUUGUUCGGAAUUACUGGGCGUAAAGGGCGCGUAGGCGGCCUGCUAAGUCGAACGUGAAAUCCCCGGGCUCAACCCGGGAACUGCGUCCGAUACUGGCAGGCUUGAAUCCGGGAGAGGGAUGCGGAAUUCCAGGUGUAGCGGUGAAAUGCGUAGAUAUCGGGAGGAACACCAGAGGCGAAGGCGGCGACCUGGACAGAUACUGACACUCAACUACUAAAGCGUGGGUAGCAAACAGG
rnacentral:rRNA from 1 species